rnacentral:lncRNA from 1 species
AGGCUCCUGACCAGAAGUAAAUAAUGGGAACCGCUGAGUGACCUGUGUGAGAGUCACAGGUGUCAGGAGCCCUCCCUGGUGCUGCCCUCUUCCCACGCUCCCAGUGACUGGGAAAGGAUACAGGGGUGAUGGCCAACACACAGAGCUGGAUCUCCCUGUCAGGACUCAGUUGAGCUUCCAGGCUCCCACCCCAGAAAGUGCCUCCUCUUGUAAAGCCAGAGAAACUUGGUCCUGGCUGAAUGAACUUCUAUCAAAGCAGCUGUAGCAGCAAGCGCUCAAAGAGCUUAAGGAGAAGAAGCAAAGGACCAAGCAAUGGAAAGGGUAGAGAGAAGGAAAGGAGGGGGGUGAAGGCCUUGGAGGCUGACCUACAGGGAUGUUGGAUGCCACGGCAUGAUCAGCGACUGAGAUCCUUCCUCCCAUCCUGCCACACGGACGUGCCCUGGGGAACGGUGUGUGUGAGCAGCGAGGACACGCUGUUAAUGGAGGCAUAGCUGUUCCACUCCUCCCUUCUCAAUUUGCUACCUGUAAAGAGCAUCUCCGAGUGGAUGGAUAGCUUUUGAAUCCUCUUACGGUUUUUCUUACUGAAUUUUCAUUAACAGCCUCCUCAUCUCCAGAAACGUCAACUUUUUCUUCUUUCUUGAGAAUCUGGAAACUGCAGGAUAGAGGCCUCCUCUCAGUGGCUGCUCAGGAUAAUGAAUAUUUUCUUGGAUUGAGGAGGACAACCCAGCUGCUCUCUGGGAAGGUAGUUCUGAGAAUCCUCAGGUGCAAUGUUUAUGAUUAGGGGACUGGAGUAGCUG